rnacentral:rRNA from 1 species
CCUACGGGAGACAGCAGUGGGGAAUAUUGGGCAAUGGACGCAAGCCUGACCCAGCAACGCCGCGUGAGGGAUGAAGGUUUUCGGGUUGUAAACUUCUUUUAUCAGGGACGAAGCAAGUGACGGUACCCGCAGAAUAAGCCUCGGCUAACUACGUGCCAGCAGCCGCGGUAAUACGUAGGAGGCAAGCGUUAUCCGGAUUGACUGGGUGUAAAGGGUGCGUAGGUGGGAGGGCAAGUCAGUAGUGAAAACUCUGGGCUCAACCCAUGGCCUGCAUUUGAAACUGUACUUCUUGAGUGCUGGAGAGGCAAUCGGAAUUCCGAGUGUAGCGGUGAAAUGCGUAGAUAUACGGAGGAACACCAGUGGCGAAGGCGGAUUGCUGGACAGUAACUGACGCUGAGGCGCGAAAGCGUGGGGAGCAAACAGGAUUAGAUACCCUAGUAGUC